rnacentral:rRNA from 1 species
ACAGCAGCAGCCACGGUAAUACGUAGGUCCCGAGCGUUGUCCGGAUUUAUUGGGCGUAAAGCGAGCGCAGGCGGUUAGAUAAGUCUGAAGUUAAAGGCUGUGGCUUAACCAUAGUACACUUUGGAAACUGUUUAACUUGAGUGCAAGAGGGGAGAGUGGAAUUCCAUGUGUAGCGGUGAAAUGCGUAGAUAUAUGGAGGAACACCGGUGGCGAAAGCGGCUCUCUGACUUGUAACUGACGCUGAGGCUCGAAAGCGUGGGGAGCAAACAGGAUUAGAUACCCCAGUAGUCCCUGUCUCUUAUACC